GAUGAACGCUGGCGGCGUGCCUAACACAUGCAAGUCGAGCGGUAUAUAUCUAAACAAAACUUCGGUCUAGUGAGGGUAUAGAGAGCGGCGGACGGGUGAGUAACGCGUAGGCAACCUGCCCCAUACAGAGGGAUAGCCUCGGGAAACCGGGAUUAAAACCUCAUAACGCGAGAAGUUCACAUGGACUUUUCGCCAAAGAUUUAUCGGUAUGGGAUGGGCCUGCGUCUGAUUAGCUAGUUGGUGGGGUAACGGCCUACCAAGGCAACGAUCAGUAGCCGACCUGAGAGGGUAAUCGGCCACAUUGGAACUGAGACACGGUCCAAACUCCUACGGGAGGCAGCAGUGGGGAAUAUUGCACAAUGGGCGAAAGCCUGAUGCAGCAACGCCGCGUGAGCGAUGAAGGCCUUUGGGUCGUAAAGCUCUGUCCUUGGGGAAGAAAAAAAUGACGGUACCCUUGGAGGAAGCCCCGGCUAACUACGUGCCAGCAGCCGCGGUAAUACGUAGGGGGCAAGCGUUAUCCGGAAUUAUUGGGCGUAAAGAGUGCGUAGGUGGUUUUGUAAGCGCGGGGUGAAAGGCAAUAGCUCAACUAUUGUAAGCCCUGCGAACUGUGAGACUUGAGUGCAGGAGAGGAAAGCGGAAUUCCUAGUGUAGCGGUGAAAUGCGUAGAUAUUAGGAGGAACACCAGUGGCGAAGGCGGCUUUCUGGACUGUAACUGACACUGAGGCACGAAAGCGUGGGGAGCAAACAGGAUUAGAUACCCUGGUAGUCCACGCCGUAAACGAUGAGCACUAGGUGUCGGGGCCGCAAGGUUUCGGUGCCGCAGUUAACGCAUUAAGUGCUCCGCCUGGGGAGCACGCACGCAAGUGUG
rnacentral:rRNA from 1 species